AGUAAGAGAGAGAGAGAGAGAGAGAAUCUGACUGAAUUCGCAGAAAUAAAUAUCCACAAAUUGUGAGUAACUUGGCUACAGCUAGGCUUCUUUUAUGUUUUGAUAAUCUUAUUUCUAUUUCUAGGACUCGUUUAUUCAUUCAUUCAGGAGAGCUUCAUUGACUGUAUCCUGCGUGCAGGCCAAUGCCUGGCGCCAGAGACACACGAUGCAAAGAGGACAAACCACUAAAUAUGCAGAAUGGCCCUGUAAGUAGAAAGUGGGAUAAUCCCACAAAAAUGCAAAGUCAAGGACACUUGGAAGCCGGACACACGGAGGUUUCGAUUUGGCCUUGGUGAUGCAGCAAGAUUUCUCCGAGGAAGUGGUGAUUCCGCUGCGGCUGGACAGACAGACAUCCGCCAAGCAGAUUCACGGGAGGAAGCAGUGCUACCAGACCAUGUGGCCUCACGGAAGCUUCUAACUGAUAUAUAGCAAUAAUAUGCAGGAAGACAAAGGCAUCUCCAGUGGGACCAUGAGUGAUCCUGGAGCAUGAACAGCUUAAAAUUCCAGAUUGUGGUGUUGGUAUUGGAAUACCUGCUUGUCCUUUCAGGAAAGAGUACUCUUCAAACAGAUGUGGAAACUGAGAGAAAGAGAGAUGAAGUGACCCAGCUGGCAGCAGCGGAGCAGGAUUCAGAACCCAGGCACUGGAGCUUUGAAGCCGGGUUCUAGUAGCAAAGUAUACACAGGCCCAGGAGAGAACAGGAGAUAUGGCUCACAUAUCAGCCAGGAACCCUUCCUUUGCUUGUUGAGAAGUAACACAAUGAAGAUUCAAGGUGCUUUGUGUAGGAGAAGAUGGCCAUUUUGAUGAAGAAUCGGUCCUGUGGAUGCUAAUCCAUGAAUCUCUAAGGCUAAAGUUAUCCAGCGAGUGGCUUCUGUUGUAAGAAAACCAAUAUCACGUCCAUCCUGAAGCCUGGUCCUCCAGAAUUCUUGGCAAUUAUGCGAGUUACCCAGGACCUUCUCAGCAAAUUCCCUUUGUGCCUGCAUCAGCCACAGCCCAUUUCUGGUUCCUACACUUAAGAACUCUGUCUAGUAGGCGUCUGACACUCCGUCUUCCUCGAAAAGCCUCUCCUGACUAAUUGGGAAGUGCCAAUUUCUUCUCCUAUCUCGGGUGCCAGCAACUUCUCAGCCUUACUUGUCACUGCCUUCCACCAUCCUCAGAGCAGCAGCGGGACAACUGCCACUGUUCUCACAUACGUGAUUCAUCUGUCAGGGGUUUACAGAGUUGUCAGUGUUUGUUCGUGUCAACAUCACCUACUAUAGAGCCCGAGUGCACGGUGGACACAGAUGGUGUUGAUUUAAUUGAUUUUUCGAACAGCACGUAGUCGUUCGCUUGAUUCAGAAUCUGAGAAGUCUCCUGGGAGCAACUGGCGUAAUGGAAAAAAUGGGACCCUUGGAGUCAAAGAGCCGAGUUUGUAUCCUGGCUCAGUGCAACAAAGUUCGUGACCCUGGAAAAAAGUGAGAUGUGGUCAGGCUGAAGAGUGUGGGAGGGGCAGCUGCCCCCUGGUGCUGGAGUGGCCGGAGGGCCGUUUAAAAAUGGACAAGCUCGGGGCGCCUGGGUGGCUCAGUCGGUUAAGCGUCCGACUUCGGCUCAGGUCACGAUCUCACGGUCCGUGAGUUCGAGCCCCGUGUCGGGCUCUGGGCUGAUGGCGCAGAGCCUGGAGCCUGCCUCAGAUUCUGUGUCUCCCUCUCUCUCUGCCCCUCCCCCGUUCAUGCUCUGUCUCUCUCUGUCUCAAAAAUAAAUAAACGUUAAAAAAAAUUUAAAAAAAAUGGACAAGCUCAGGGUUUGUCCUGGGCUGACUGGUGUCCCCCCAGAUUCAUAUGUUGAAGCGCAGACCCCUGGUACCUCCGAGUGUGACUGUAUCUGGAGAUAGGUCCUUUAAAGAGGUAAUUAAGUGGAAAAUGUGGUCACUAGGGUGGCCCCUAAUCCAAUACAACCGGUGUCCUAUAAGGACAUAAGAACACAGACACACAGACGGAGACCAUGUGAGGACGCACAGAGGAGUCAGUUGUCUGCAAGUCAAGGAGAGAGGCUCGGGAGAGGCAAACCCUGCUGACACCUUGAUCUUGGACUUCUGGCCUCCACAAUUAGGAGAAAACAAAUUUCUGUUGCUUAAAGCCAUCCGGUCUGUGGUGUUUUGUUAUGGUGGCCCUAGCACACUUACACGGGGUUCCAUCAAAUCGUUUGGGUCCCUGAAAUGUCAUCUUUCCCCUCAUCUUUCUCCCAGAGUUUGUCUUGUUUGUAAGAAGCUACAAGGUCUCGUGUGAGAUUUUUAACUUAUGGACAUCGAAGGGGAGGCUAAAUUCAUGUGUGGGUCAGUCUGGUCAAGAGCUUUGAGAUAAUCCUUGGGAACACAGGAAGACAGAGGCGACUUUGAGCACCCACUUAAACCCUCUCCAUGGAAGCCUGAGGUGGGGCUCUGGCUCCUUCCCGGGGUGGGGUUAAAUACUUAUCUUCCCAUCGUUACAUGGUUAGAACAACAGUGACAGCAACAAACUCCAAAUAAAACAAAGAAAAAAUGAUUUUGAGAGCCACCUUGUAUGAAGAUUUCUCGCUCGCGAGUCUAAGCUGAUAGGGGCUGUACUCUCCUAAACAUUUCCCCACCCUGUCCUUCUAGCAUAGUCCUUCCACACUUGGGCACCACGUCUGGCCCAGAAUCAAGGCCAGGUGGCCUGUUUUAUGGGAGUGUUUGUUUUGGGAACAGCCAGCUCUCGGAGGACAUGGGAC